rnacentral:rRNA from 1 species
UACGAAGGGGGCUAGCGUUGCUCGGAAUCACUGGGCGUAAAGCGCACGUAGGCGGACUUUUAAGUCAGGGGUGAAAUCCUGGAGCUCAACUCCAGAACUGCCUUUGAUACUGGAAGUCUAGAGUCCGGAAGAGGUGAGUGGAACUCCUAGUGUAGAGGUGGAAUUCGUAGAUAUUAGGAAGGAACACCCAGUGGCGAAGGC